AAACAGAAUGGGAAGUUUUGACAACAGACUACAACAGGAGGGGUUGGGGUGCGCAAUACAAAAAACGAGCUAGCCCAGGGAUUAUGGCCUGUGAGAUGCUGGAAUCUCCAUUCGAACAUCUUGGAAAUGAGGCCAUUUUACAGGGCUUUACUGACAUUCAAGCACUUCUUAAACAAAUGGGUGAAGGUAAGGGUGGACAGCACCACUGCCAUGGCCUACAUCAAGGAGGGAUAAAGAACAAGAGAUUGAUACAAGAAUCCAAACCAAUAAUAUUCUGGGCAGAAUCUGGAAGGGUUGUCUGCGAUUCACCUACCAGGACAGAUGAACACUGUGGAUUAUCUGAGCCAACAUUCUGUAAAGCUAGGUGAAUGGAAACAGAGUUCGGAUGUUUUCCAAAACAAUGUGAUCUAUGGGGUGUACCGGAUAUAGAUCUGAUGGCGACCUAUAGAACCAAGCAACUCACUUUGUAUUUUUCAAGGAGAUUCGACCCCAGAGCAAAAGUUCAAGAUGCGCUAACACAAAAAUAGGAAUUUCCGCUGGGCUAUGUCUUCCCUCCUCUUCUGCUAAUUCUGAGAGCAAUCAAGAAAAUCUGGAAGGAGUAGAGGUUCCAGCAAUUCUUCUUCAUUGGUCAAGGAGACCUUGGUUCCCACUACUUCUGAGCAUGACAAUAGAAGAUCCAUGGGAACUACCAAUCCAGAAGAAUCUCGUCACAGGGUCCAGUUCUCCAUGACAAUCCUGCCAAAUUUUGUUUGAAGGCUUGGAGAUGGAGAAGAAUGUCCUAAAAGCUAAAGGAAUUUCAGAAACUGUGCUAAAUACUAUAAUUCAAG